AAAGGUAAACAACAUGGCUACCCAGGUAGCACAAAACGUUUUCAUAACAUUGUAUUCCUGUUGUAAGGAUGUUAUCGGAAAACAUUACUAACAAAACAUUUUUAUAAUGUUAUAAUAACAUUUUUUUUUCAGUUGUAAAAACGCUAUAAGCAAACGUUUUUGACCAAUGUUUUAAAAUCAUUUUGUCGUCGUUUUAAAAACAUUAUAAAAACAUUAUUGAAAAUGUUAGGAUCAUCUUUCUUUUAAACAUUUGAAAAUACGUUUUCAAAACGUUUUAAUAAUGAUUUUAAAAACAUACUUAAUAUACUAUGUUUUUCAAAAAGUUACCCAAAUCAAAGUAGUGUUUUAAAUAUAUUCUUUUGAAAAUGAUUUUUUUUUAAAAAUUACAUAAUAUUAAAAUGUUGCCAGCCAACACAAAUAUAACGUUGCCUUACAAUGUUGAUAAAACAUAUUUAAAACGUUACAGAAAUACAUAUAACUUUAAAAAACUAUUCGUACUUCAACUUAAUUUGAUUUAUUUAAUUGAUAUAACACUUUAAAAAAAAAAAAUGUUUAACAAGAUUCAACUGCAGUAUAUUGAAUUAUGAUAAUCAUUUUGUAAGUUAAGGACAAUGAUUUCAUGCUUCUAAAUUACCGAAAGUCAUCUUACGUACAUCAGUUUUAAAACAUCUUUGAUACAAAAAAGAGUAAAGGUCUAUUUUUAACUUAACAAUAUUUUAAACAAUGGAAUUCAUUUCAUUUGCUUGUGGGCAUGCAUGCUCUGCUCUGGGAAUUAAAUUCCCCCUUUCAAUGUGUUUACGGAGAGUUAUAAUGGAAUGACACAGCGGGAUACUAUGGCCAAGACUCAUACAGCCGAUCCUAUAGUUAUGCAAUUUUCUCGCGAUUUGAUAUGCUGUGUAGGUCAAAGUUUUGGAAAACCCAAGCCAUUCUUGUUACACAGAGUCUGCGAGCUGGUGAACAGUCGGUUAAAAUAAAUGCCAUGGCCUCUCUGCAGGGUGGAAGGAAAGAUUAGCAGAGAUGUGAUGAGAUCUGUAAUGACUAACAACUGCAUGAGCCAGUUUAGUGGCACUGGACAGAAAGGGAAAAUAGCCUUUAUUGGAACACCCCUGUACAAAAUCAUUCUUUCUGCUGCACGCAAAGCAUCAAAGAAAACUGUUUCGUUUGCGACAAUCAAACGAGAAGUUUUAGACGUCCUCAGAUUCGCCCCAUACCUUCCUUAAUUGAGGAACUAAAUUAUGCUAAG